rnacentral:tRNA from 1 species
GGGGCCAUAGCUCAGCUGGGGAGAGCGCCUGCCUUGCAAGCAGGAGGUCAGCGGUUCGAUCCCUUGGCUCCACCA